CUCCCAGCCACUCCCGACUGCCCUUUCCCCUGCGCUCUCUCCUCGGGAAGGAGUGUGUGAGCCGAGCUCCAGCCACGUAGCCCCAAUAUUAAUGGCAACCUUGAUGAGCCUUACCCUUGCAGCCCAGUAAGCUUUGGGCAAGUGUAGCCUGAGGGUGACUGAAAGUGGGGGUCCUGGGCCCUUCUGAAGAGAGGAAAUUCAUGGCAGAUUGAACAGAGUGUAUGGAGCUUCCAGAUGCCUUCACCUGAGUGAGACCUUCGUCAUCAAGACCUUUGAUGCCUGACAGCCCUGCAUAGCACAUAAUGUCAAGCCCGAGAGAUGACAUACUUCUCAAUUGGAUAGUCAGAAGUACUUUUCCAACCUUUUUCAAAAGUCAGUGUGGUGGUGUUAGUAUUGAAGUCCUAGCAUCUUUUGUGUUACACAUUUUUUAUGGCCAGGGAAGUGGUUCGAGUAACAUUCCUUCCAAGUGUGAUCUGGUACUGUGGAAAAUAAAGUAUUUUUUAGCAAUACAAGGAAAAA